rnacentral:lncRNA from 1 species
UUAGCCUCUUCUAUCUGCUGAGUAUGGACCAUGAUCCUUGAUAUGUCCAUUUCCUUAAUCAACAUCACUGUUCUGCACUCCUUAACCACACUAUCUGACACCCCACAUACAAACUUGAUUGUUCUGGACCUACUGUCUGCUACUGCAUAAGGAGCAUACCUAUAUAACUACGUAAACUUGAGGCAAUACUUUUUCACGC